rnacentral:rRNA from 1 species
CACAAGCGGAGGAACUAUGUGGUUUAAUUCGAUGAUACGCGAGGAACCUUACCUGGGCUUAAAUGGGGAGUGACAGCUGUCGAAAGAUGGUUUUCUUCGGACACUCUUCAAGGUGCUGCAUGGUUGUCGUCAGCUCGUGCCGUGAGGUGUCGGGUUAAGUCCCAUAACGAGCGCAACCCUUACCGUUAGUUACCAUCAGGUUAAGCUGGGGACUCUAGCGGGACUGCCACCGUAAGGUGAGAGGAAGGUGGGGAUGACGUCAAAUCAGCACGGCCCUUAUGUCCAGGGCUACACACGUGUUACAAUGGCCAGUACAAAGGGCAGCUACCGGGUGACCGGAUGCUAAUCUCUUAAAGCCAAUCUCAGUUCGGAUUGUAGGCUGCAACUCGCCUACAUGAAGUCGGAAUCGCUAGUAAUCGCGGAUCAGCACGCCGCGGUGAAUACGUUCCCGGGCCUU